rnacentral:rRNA from 1 species
CUGAGGCGUGAUGACGAGGCACUACGGUGCUGAAGCAACAAAUGCCCUGCUUCCAGGAAAAGCCUCUAAGCAUCAGGUAACACGAAAUCGUACCCCAAACCGACACAGGUGGUCAGGUAGAGAAUACCAAGGCGCUUGAGAGAACUCGGGUGAAGGAACUAGGCAAAAUGGUGCCGUAACUUCGGGAGAAGGCACGCUGACACGUAGGUGAAGUGAUUUACUCAUGGAGCUGAAGUCAGUCGAAGAUACCAGCUGGCUGCAACUGUUUAUUAAAAACACAGCACUGUGCAAACACGAAAGUGGACGUAUACGGUGUGACGCCUGCCCGGUGCCGGAAGGUUAAUUGAUGGGGUCAGCGCAAGCGAAGCUCCUGAUCGAAGCCCCGGUAAACGGCGGCCGUAACUAUAACGGUCCUAAGGUAGCGAAAUUCCUUGUCGGGUAAGUUCCGACCUGCACGAAUGGCGUAAUGAUGGCCAGGCUGUCUCCACCCGAGACUCAGUGAAAUUGAACUCGCUGUGAAGAUGCAGUGUACCCGCGGCAAGACGGAAAGACCCCGUGAACCUUUACUAUAGCUUGACACUGAACAUUGAGCCUUGAUGUGUAGGAUAGGUGGGAGGCUUUGAAGUGUGGACGCCAGUCUGCAUGGAGCCGGCCUUGAAAUACCACCCUUUAAUGUUUGAUGUUCUAACGUGGACCCGUNCCGGGUUGCGGACAGUGUCUGGUGGGUAGUUUGACUGGGGCGGUCUCCUCCUAAAGAGUAACGGAGGAGCACGAAGGUUGGCUAAUCCUGGUCGGACAUCAGGAGGUUAGUGCAAUGGCAUAAGCCAGCUUGACUGCGAGCGUGACGGCGCGAGCAGGUGCGAAAGCAGGUCAUAGUGAUCCGGUGGUUCUGAAUGGAAGGGCCAUCGCUCAACGGAUAAAAGGUACUCCGGGGAUAACAGGCUGAUACCGCCCAAGAGUUCAUAUCGACGGCGGUGUUUGGCACCUCGAUGUCGGCUCAUCACAUCCUGGGGCUGAAGUAGGUCCCAAGGGUAUGGCUGUUCGCCAUUUAAAGUGGUACGCGAGCUGGGUUUAGAACGUCGUGAGACAGUUCGGUCCCUAUCUGCCGUGGGCGCUGGAGAACUGAGGGGGGCUGCUCCUAGUACGAGAGGACCGGAGUGGACGCAUCACUGGUGUUCGGGUUGUCAUGCCAAUGGCACUGCCCGGUAGCUAAAUGCGGAAGAGAUAAGUGCUGAAAGCAUCUAAGCACGAAACUUGCCCCGAGAUGAGUUCUCCCUGAGACUU